AGAGUUUGAUCCUGGCUCAGGAUGAACGCUAGCGAUAGGCUUAACACAUGCAAGUCGAGGGGCAGCAUUAUUUUAGCUUGCUAAGAUAGAUGGCGACCGGCGCACGGGUGCGUAACGCGUAUGCAACCUGCCUGUAAUUAGGGAAUAACCCGGUGAAAGUCGGACUAAUACCCUAUAUUCUUCUUUCUCCGCAUGGAGGAGGACGGAAAGAUUUAUUGAUUACAGAUGGGCAUGCGUCCCAUUAGCUGGUUGGUAAGGUAACGGCUUACCAAGGCAACGAUGGGUAGGGGGACUGAGAGGUUGACCCCCCACACUGGUACUGAGACACGGACCAGACUCCUACGGGAGGCAGCAGUGAGGAAUAUUGGUCAAUGGGCGAGAGCCUGAACCAGCCAAGUCGCGUGAAGGAGGACGGUUCUAUGGAUUGUAAACUUCUUUUGUAGAGGAAUAAUGGCAGCUACGUGUAGCUGAGAUGCAUGUACUCUACGAAUAAGUAUCGGCUAACUCCGUGCCAGCAGCCGCGGUAAUACGGAGGAUACGAGCGUUAUCCGGAAUUAUUGGGUUUAAAGGGUGCGUAGGUGGCGUAUUAAGUCAGUGGUGAAAAGCUGCAGCUCAACUGUAGUCUUGCCGUUGAAACUGAUAUGCUAGAGAGGAGACGAGGUAUGCGGAAUGUGUGGUGUAGCGGUGAAAUGCAUAGAUAUCACACAGAACGCCGAUUGCGAAGGCAGCGUACCAGGCUCCGUCUGACACUGAAGCACGAAAGCGUGGGGAUCAAACAGGAUUAGAUACCCUGGUAGUCCACGCAGUAAACGAUGAAUACUAGAUUUUUGCGAUAUACUGUAAGAGUCUAAGCGAAAGCGAUAAGUAUUCCACCUGGGGAGUACGCCGGCAACGGUGAAACUCAAAGGAAUUGACGGGGGCCC
rnacentral:rRNA from 1 species